CCGCGCCACGAGUGGCAACCACGAUUAUUUGGCCUAAAGCGUCCGUAGCCGGUUUAGUAAAUUCUCUGUGAAAUCGUCCAGCUCAACUGGACGGCGUGCAGGGGAGACUGCUAGACUUGGAACCAGGAGGAGUCAGAAGUAUUCCAGGGGGAACGGUAAAAUGUUAUAAUCCCUGGAGGACUACCUAUGGCGAAGGCAUCUGACCAGAAUGGAUUCGACGGUGAGGGACGAAAGCCAGGGGAGCGAACCGGAUUAGAUACCCGAGUAGUCC
rnacentral:rRNA from 1 species